GGGAAUGUGGUUCAGUGGUAGAGUGCUUGCUUAGCAUGCAUGAAGCCCUGGGUUCGAUUCCUCAGUACCA
rnacentral:tRNA from 1 species